rnacentral:rRNA from 1 species
AUUGAACGCUGGCGGCAUGCUUACACAUGCAAGUCGAACGGCAGCACGGGAGCAAUCCUGGUGGCGAGUGGCGAACGGGUGAGUAAUACAUCGGAACGUGCCCAAUCGUGGGGGAUAACGCAGCGAAAGCUGUGCUAAUACCGCAUACGAUCUACGGAUGAAAGCAGGGGAUCGCAAGACCUUGCGCGAAUGGAGCGGCCGAUGGCAGAUUAGGUAGUUGGUGAGGUAAAGGCUCACCAAGCCGUCGAUCUGUAGCUGGUCUGAGAGGACGACCAGCCACACUGGGACUGAGACACGGCCCAGACUCCUACGGGAGGCAGCAGUGGGGAAUUUUGGACAAUGGGCGAAAGCCUGAUCCAGCCAUGCCGCGUGCAGGAUGAAGGCCUUCGGGUUGUAAACUGCUUUUGUACGGAACGAAACGGCCUUUUCUAAUAAAGAGGGCUAAUGACGGUACCGUAAGAAUAAGCACCGGCUAACUACGUGCCAGCGGCCGCGGUAAUACGUAGGGUGCAAGCGUUAAUCGGAAUUACUGGGCGUAAAGCGCGCGCAGGCGGUUAUGUAAGACAGUUGUGAAAUCCCCGGGCUCAACCUGGGAACUGCAUCUGUGACUGCAUAGCUAGAGUACGGUAGAGGGGGAUGGAAUUCCGCGUGUAGCAGUGAAAUGCGUAGAUAUGCGGAGGAACACCGAUGGCGAAGGCAAUCCCCUGGACCUGUACUGACGCUCAUGCACGAAAGCGUGGGGAGCAAACAGG